GGGGAAUAUUGGGCAAUGGGCGCAAGCCUGACCCAGCAACGCCGCGUGAAGGAAGAAGGCUUUCGGGUUGUAAACUUCUUUUAUCAGGGAAGAGUAGAAGACUGUACCUGAUGAAUAAGCCACGGCUAACUACGUGCCAGCAGCCGCGGUAAUACGUAGGUGGCAAGCGUUGUCCGGAUUUACUGGGUGUAAAGGGCGUGUAGCCGGGAAGGCAAGUCAGAUGUGAAAUCUGGAGGCUCAACCUCCAAACUGCAUUUGAAACUGUUUUUCUUGAGUAUCGGAGAGGCAAUCGGAAUUCCUAGUGUAGCGGUGAAAUGCGUAGAUAUUAGGAGGAACACCAGUGGCGAAGGCGGAUUGCUGGACGACAACUGACGGUGAGGCGCGAAAGCGUGGGGAGCAAACA
rnacentral:rRNA from 1 species